rnacentral:rRNA from 1 species
UACGGAGGGGGCUAGCGUUGUUCGGAAUUACUGGGCGUAAAGCGCACGUAGGCGGACUGUUAAGUCGGGGGUGAAAUCCUGGGGCUCAACCUCAGAAUUGCCUCCGAUACUGGCAGUCUCGAGUGCGGGAGAGGUGAGUGGAAUUCCCAGUGUAGAGGUGAAAAUUUCGGUAGAUAUUGGGAAGAACACCAGUGGCGAAGGCGGCUGCACUGGCCCGUAACUGAC